rnacentral:rRNA from 1 species
GGCGUAAAGGGCUCGCAGGCGGUUUCUUAAGUCUGAUGUGAAAGCCCCCGGCUCAACCGGGGAGGGUCAUUGGAAACUGGGAAACUUGAGUGCAGAAGAGGAGAGUGGAAUUCCACGUGUAGCGGUGAAAUGCGUAGAGAUGUGGAGGAACACCAGUGGCGAAGGCGACUCUCUGGUCUGUAACUGACGCUGAGGAGCGAAAGCGUGGGGAGCGAACAGGAUUAGAUACCCUGGUAGUCCACGCCGUAAACGAUGAGUGCUAAGUGUUAGGGGGUUUCCGCCCCUUAGUGCUGCAGCUAACGCAUUAAGCACUCCGCCUGGGGAGUACGGUCGCAAGACUGAAACUCAAAGGAAUUGACGGGGGCCCGCACAAGCGGUGGAGCAUGUGGUUUAAUUCGAAGCAACGCGAAGAACCUUACCAGGUCUUGACAUCCUCUGACAACCCUAGAGAUAGGGCUUUCCCUUCGGGGACAGAGUGACAGGUGGUGCAUGGUUGUCGUCAGCUCGUGUCGUGAGAUGUUGGGUUAAGUCCCGCAACGAGCGCAACCCUUGAUCUUAGUUGCCAGCAUUCAGUUGGGCACUCUAAGGUGACUGCCGGUGACAAACCGGAGGAAGGUGGGGAUGACGUCAAAUCAUCAUGCCCCUUAUGACCUGGGCUACACACGUGCUACAAUGGACAGAACAAAGGGCUGCAAGACCGCAAGGUUUAGCCAAUCCCAUAAAUCUGUUCUCAGUUCGGAUCGCAGUCUGCAACUCGACUGCGUGAAGCUGGAAUCGCUAGUAAUCGCGGAUCAG